GAUGAAGAACGUAGCGAAAUGCGAUAAGUAAUGUGAAUUGCAGAAUUCAGUGAAUCAUCGAAUCUUUGAACGCACAUUGCGCCCGCCAGUAUUCUGGCGGGCAUGCCUGUCUGAGCGUCAUUUCAACCCUCAUGCCCCUAGGGCGUGGUGUUGGGGAUCGGCCAAAGCCCGCAAGGGACGGCCGGCCCCUAAAUCUAGUGGCGGACCCGUCGUGGCCUCCCCUGCGAAGUAGUGAUAUUCCGCAUAGGAGAAGCGACGAGCCCCUGCCGUUAAACCCCCAACUUUCUCAGGUUGACCUCAGAUCAGGUAGGAAUACCCGCUGAACUUAAGCAUCUCAAUAAGCGGAGGA
rnacentral:misc_RNA from 1 species